rnacentral:rRNA from 1 species
UACGUAGGUGGCAAGCGUUAUCCGGAUUUACUGGGUGUAAAGGGCGUGUAGGCGGGACUGCAAGUCAGAUGUGAAACCCAUGGGCUCAACCCAUGGCCUGCAUUUGAAACUGUAGUUCUUGAGUGAUGGAGAGGCAGGCGGAAUUCCAUGUGUAGCGGUGAAAUGCGUAGAUAUAUGGAGGAACACCGGUGGCGAAAGCGGCUCUCUGGCCUGUAACUGACACUGAGGCUCGAAAGCGUGGGGAGCAAACAGG